rnacentral:rRNA from 1 species
GGAUUAGAUACCCGGGUAGUCCUAGGUGUAAACGCUGUGGACUUGAUGUUGGGGGCGCUCCGAGCGCACUCAGUGUCGAAGCGAAGGUGAUAAGUCCACUGCCUGGGGAGUACGGUCGCAAGGCUGAAACUUAAAGGAAUUGGCGGGGGAGCACCGCAACCUGAGGAUUGUGCGGUUUAAUUGGAUUCAACGCCGGAAAACUCACCAUAGCCGACGGACAUAUGAAGGCCAGCGUAACGAGCUUGCCGGAUUGUUCGAGAGGUAGUGCAUGGCCGUCGUCAGUUCGUACCGUAAGGCGUUCUGUUAAGUCAGAUAACGAACGAGACCCUCAUCCCUAUUUGCUAACCCGAUCUCCGGAUCAGGCGCACUAUAGGGAGACCGCUGGCGCGAAGUCAGAGGAAGGCGAGGGCAACGGUAGGUCAGUAUGCUCCGAAUGCUAUGGGCUACACGCGCAAUACAAAGGACGGGACAAUGGGCUGCAACUCCGAGAGGAACGAAGCUAUCCCGAAACCCGUUCGUAGUUCGGAUUGAGGGCUGUAACUCGCCCUCAUGAAGCUGGAUUAGGUAGUAAUCGCGUCUCAAAAAGGCGCGGUGAAUAUGCCCCUGCUCCUUGCACACACCGCCCGUCAAACCAUCUUAGUUGGGGGUGGGUGAGGCUGCCUUUUAGUGGGGUAUUCGAGCCUGCCUUCGACAAGGAGGGUUAAGUCGUAACAAGGUAUCUGUAGGGGAACCUGCAGAUG